ACUGCUCAGUAACACGUGGAUAACCUGCCCAAGGGUCUGGGAUAGCCCCGGGAAACUGGGGAUAAUACCGGAUGGAUCACUAGUGCUGGAAUGCUUGGUGGUCGAAAGGCAACGCCUUUGGAUGGGUCUGCGGCGGAUUAGGUUGACGCCGGUGUAACGUACCGGCGUGCCUGUAAUCCGUACGGGUUGUGGGAGCAAGAGCCCGGAGAUGGAUUCUGAGACACGAAUCCAGGCCCUACGGGGCGCAGCAGGCGCGAAAACUCUACAAUGCAGGCAACUGCGAUAGGGGGACAUCGAGUGGCAUCCACCUUGGGUGCCUGUCCAACCGUCUAAAAAACGGUUGUUAGCAAGGGCCGGGUAAGACCGGUGCCAGCCGCCGCGGUAAUACCGGCGGCUCGAGUGGUGGCCGAUAUUAUUGAGUCUAAAGGGUCCGUAGCCGGCUUUGCAAGUCCCCUGGGAAAUCCAGCGGCUUAACCGUUGGGCUUUCAUGAGAUACUACAUUGCUUGGGACUGGGAGAGGUAGGAGGUACUCGGGGGGUAGGGGUGAAAUCCUGUAAUCCUCCGGGGACCACCGGUGGCGAAGGCGUCCUACCAGAACAGGUCCGACGGUGAGGGACGAAAGCUAGGGGCACGAACCGGAUUAGAUACCCGGGUAGUCCUAGCCGUAAACGAUGCCCGCUAGGUGUCACGACGGUCGUGAAUCGUCGUGGUGCCGUAGGGAAGCCGCGAAGCGGGCCACUUGGGAAGUACGGCCGCAAGGCUGAAACUUAAAGGAAUUGGCGGGGGAGCAC
rnacentral:rRNA from 1 species